CAGCUGUCAAGAGACCUGGAAGGGCUUUAAUCUGUCCAAAGAAAAUGCCAGCAGUUGGUGACCAUCCAAAGUGUGGAGCGUUAGCAUGUGGCUUUGGAAGAAGUCAAGCUUAGGCAUGAAAAUAGAUGGAACAUUCAAUGAAUACUUUCCUCCACUUGUUGACAGAAGCAACUCCACACCAACCAGUCAUCCAGGUAGAAGUAUACCUGGACAUCCCAGCGGUGGAGAACAGAUUUGUGAGAUGAGUCCCUGAAAAGGGACAGGAAAUGCAGGUGGGAAUGGAUGUCAGACAGGAACUGCAGAGUAUAUCCUGU